rnacentral:rRNA from 1 species
GCUAACGCGUUAAGUCGACCGCCUGGGGAGUACGGCCGCAAGGUUAAAACUCAAAUGAAUUGACGGGGGCCCGCACAAGCGGUGGAGCAUGUGGUUUAAUUCGAUGCAACGCGAAGAACCUUACCUGGUCUUGACAUCCACAGAACUUUCCAGAGAUGGAUUGGUGCCUUCGGGAACUGUGAGACAGGUGCUGCAUGGCUGUCGUCAGCUCGUGUUGUGAAAUGUUGGGUUAAGUCCCGCAACGAGCGCAACCCUUAUCCUUUGUUGCCAGCGGUCCGGCCGGGAACUCAAAGGAGACUGCCAGUGAUAAACUGGAGGAAGGUGGGGAUGACGUCAAGUCAUCAUGGCCCUUACGACCAGGGCUACACACGUGCUACAAUGGCGCAUACAAAGAGAAGCGACCUCGCGAGAGCAAGCGGACCUCAUAAAGUGCGUCGUAGUCCGGAUUGGAGUCUGCAACUCGACUCCAUGAAGUCGGAAUCGCUAGUAAUCGUGGAUCAGAAUGCCACGGUGAAUACGUUCCCGGGCCUUGCACACACCGCCCGUC